rnacentral:rRNA from 1 species
GGACUACCCGGGUAUCUAAUCCUGUUCGCUCCCCACACUUUCGCUCCUCAGCGUCAGAAUACUCCCAGAGAACCGCCUUCGCCACCGGUGUUCCUCCUGAUAUCUGCGCAUUUCACCGCUACACCAGGAAUUCCGUUCUCCCCUGAAUACCUCUAGUCUGCCCGUAUCGAAAGCAGGCCCCAAGUUAAGCCUGGGGUUUUCACUCCCGACGCAACAAACCGCCUACGAGCCCUUUACGCCCAAUAAUUCCGGACAACGCUCGGACCCUACGUAUUACCGCGGCUGCUGGCAC